rnacentral:rRNA from 1 species
GAACUGAAGAGUUUGAUCAUGGCUCAGAUUGAACGCUGGCGGCAGGCCUAACACAUGCAAGUCGAGCGGAUGAAGGGAGCUUGCUCCUGGAUUCAGCGGCGGACGGGUGAGUAAUGCCUAGGAAUCUGCCUGGUAGUGGGGGAUAACGUCCGGAAACGGGCGCUAAUACCGCAUACGUCCUGAGGGAGAAAGUGGGGGAUCUUCGGGCCUCACGCUAUCAGAUGAGCCUAGGUCGGAUUAGCUAGUUGGUGGGGUAAAGGCCUACCAAGGCGACGAUCCGUAACUGGUCUGAGAGGAUGAUCAGUCACACUGGAACUGAGACACGGUCCAGACUCCUACGGGAGGCAGCAGUGGGGAAUAUUGGACAAUGGGCGAAAGCCUGAUCCAGCCAUGCCGCGUGUGUGAAGAAGGUCUUCGGAUUGUAAAGCACUUUAAGUUGGGAGGAAGGGCAGUAAGUUAAUACCUUGCUGUUUUGACGUUACCAA